AAUGUUUGACACCGUUGACUUUUUAGCACAUGUUUGACCAUUCGUCUUAUUCAAAAACUUUUAAGUAAUUAUUAAUUCUUUUCCUAUCAUUUGAUUCAUUGUUAAAUAUAUUUUUAUGUAGACAUAUAAUUUUACAUAUUUCAAAAAAGUUUUUGAAUAAGACGAAUGGUCAAACAUGUGCUAAAAAGUCAACGGCAUCAAACAUU
rnacentral:pre_miRNA from 1 species